UACGUAGGGGGCAAGCGUUGUCCGGAAUCAUUGGGCGUAAAGAGCGUGUAGGCGGCCCGAUAAGUCCGCUGUGAAAGUCCAGGGCUCAACCCUGGGAUGCCGGUGGAUACUGUCGGGCUCGAGUCCGGAAGAGGAGUGUGGAAUUCCUGGUGUAGCGGUGAAAUGCGUAGAUAUCGGAAGGAACACCAGUGGCGAAAGCGGCUUCCUGGUCCAGCACCGACGUUCAGGCACGAAAGCGUGGGGAGCAAACAGG
rnacentral:rRNA from 1 species